GCUAUCCCAGCUGACAAACCAGGGAAAGAUUCCUUCAUCAGAGCCAUUCAGCAUAACCUCUGCAGAUCAGAUAUACACAGGAGCAUGUAAGCAUCCUCACACCAAGAGUUUAUACACACCAGACUCAAAUGCAAAAUUACGUGCUUGUAAUAUAAUGCAAGCAAACUAUCUUCGACACAGGGAACACCUACAUGAAUGCAGUAACUUGCUAUAGCAAGUUUUUUGUUUGUUAUUGAAUACAAGGUGUAUUACAUAAAGAUCUUAAGAUUAAACACAGAGAAUGUUCCCAGAUCCCUUCUACUCUAUGAGUUAAAAAGCAAAUAAAGGAGCUGCAGGGUUGUGGCACACCAUGGGAUACCUAGCCCUGCUAGGAAGCCCAACCAGUGUUCGCACAAGACACUAACAUUAUCUUGAAAACUGAUUCUGAAACAACAAUGCUGCACAUGAACUAAUGCACCCUCUGCCAAGGAGUAAGGAAGGAAGGAAUUUCAGCCCCAAAUUGUCUUUGCCUACCAGGUUUCAGAAAGCUUGGCAUGCACAGAAAUAGAUUAUAUGGAACAAGAUAUAUGAUAAUAAAAGUUAUCUUGGUUUUGGUGGGGAGAAGGAAUUUAUUUAUUUUAAAUAAACACUUUUCUUUUAAUCUUUUGAGAGUUGACUCAUCACACAAUAGAAGAGCUUACAGGGCCAGAGAUCUAAGCCAAUAGAUCCUUUGACUUCCGGUAGAGGAUCUAUUAAGACUAAAAGAAAAAGCAAAAGAGCCUCCUGAUGCUGAUAGUACAUGACUUGAACACUAAUUAAUGCCUUUAAAAAAAUCAAUAGAGAUGCAAAAUACGGCAGCUAUUCCAGGAAAUAGCAUUACAUUUACAGAUAGUGUGUACUUGUGCUUUAAGAAACAUCCCAUAGCCCCGGAAGAAGUCACGAGUAUCAUAAGAUACUUCACUAUUAACUCCAGAUUCUGCUUCACCUGUUGAGCUUCACUUCUGCUGCUAUAAGACAAACUUCAAGCCUUUACCUGCUUUUCUGCACCAGGUAUCAAGGGAUAAGGAAUCUCAACUUCAGUUAAACUCACUGUGGUACUUGCAUGACCCAAAUUCCCAGGACAGCAAUUCCUUCCCAACUUUCUGAACCUUAUACUCCUGCUGCACAAACUUAGGAGAACUCAAGAUAAGUCACAGUGCUGCCCUAGAGGCUUGAGAAUGGCACAGAUGAGGGAGAACAAUAGGAACACCUAUGCAUUGACCUACCAAAGUUACUAAGCUAUUCUUUAAUCAGCACACACACAGCAGCAGUCCGGCUUUUGAUCACAUCUAGUGAUCAGGCAGAGGGUGUUAGAACCAAAUCCACAUUGUUCCCGGGACACUGCAGGAACACUCCAGAUUGGAACUAUAUUAUCUGCACACGCAUCAGACCAUCACUCAGCUUGCAUCUUGCAAUGCAUAUGCAGAUAGGCAUGUGCAUGACUCCAACCAACACCUUCUCAAUGGUGCUUGGUUUAAGUUGCUCAAGAUUACGACUUCUAUAUUCACACAUUCAGAAGAGAAGUUUUUAUUUCCUCCUCCUUAAAGCAAUCAAAGACUGCUGGCCCUCAUACUGUUAAAAUAAAGGCACAAAAACAUGACCCAGGUAUGUCUCGAUGUUCAAAAUAAAAAGGCAAGUAAGAAGAAC
ensembl:lncRNA